rnacentral:tRNA from 1 species
GAGGGUACAGCUCAGUGGUAGGGUGUGUGCUUAGCAUGCAUGAGGUCCUGGGUUCAAUCCACAGUAUUUUCA